ACAGCUCUCUGGGGAAAACACAUCCAAUCAAGCGGCUGCCUUCUGAUUUAAUCUAAUUCAUUUAGGGAAUAUCGAUCCGUGUCGAUCAGUGAGGAUACUUUUCUUUUUUUUUAGGAAACUUUCUGCAUCAUCACCCUCCUCCUCCUCCUCCUCCUCCCACACGAGGACGCGCUUGACUUUUUUCUUCUUCUUUCUCUCCACCGGAUAACACGUUACCGACGCGGCUGACAUCUCCUCGGGCUCCUCCAGUAAGCGGUGACAAGUCGUCUCGGGGCUCGGAUGCGCGGCCAGGCACGCGGUUGUCCCUCCGAGAGAGAGAGGAGAGCGCAUGCACGAGGAAUACAAACGACACGCGCAGAAUGAGUCCAGUCGCCCGCCGUGGAGCCUCAACCCUGAAGGUUUAGUGUCGUCUCACCGGCUGCUGUCCGGAUUCCGGCUUCGGAGAACUCCCGUGAAGAGUUCGUGAGCCCUGCGACCAGAACUAUGACCGUCAAGCUGGACUUUGAGGAGUGUUUGAAGGACUCUCCGCGCUUCAGAGCUGAAAUCGAACAGGUCCAAACCGAUUUGAGUGAACUCGAGACGCGACUAGAAAAGCUUGUGAAACAAUGCCAGGCCAUGCUGGAGGCCGGCAGAGUGUACUGCCAGACCAGCAAGAGCUUUGUGAAUGGCCUCCGGGAUCUGGGACACCACUGCUCCGGAGACAAGACGAUGGAGGAGUGUCUGGACAAAUUCUCUAUAACGCUGUCGAUCAUCUUGGAGGCUCAGGGGGAAGUGAUUGAGACCACACAGAAGUCGGUCAAGACGAAGCUGCAGAACUUUGUCAAAGAGGAUGUGCGUCGUUUCAAGGACGUGCGCAAGGAGUUUGAGCGCGGCAGCGAAAGCCUGGAGGGGGCGCUGGUGAGGAACGCUCAGGCCCCGCGGGGGAAGCAGCACGAAGUGGAGGAGGCGAGCAACGCUCUGCUCAACGCUCGCAGGACCUUUCGGGCCGAGGCCCUCGAUUACGUCCUGGAGAUUAACGUCAUCGAGGCCAAGAAGAAGACCGACAUCCUGAUGGCGAUGUUGUCGCUGAUGGAGGCCCAGGCUCAGCUCUUCCAACAUGGCCACCAGUCUCUCUCCGAACUGGAUGAGUACCGACGAAAGUUGAAUGAAGAGCAAACUCAGUUUAUCCUAAAUUCUGCCCGUGAGAAGAGGGACAUGGAGCAGAGACAUGCUGCGAUCAAGAAGAAGGACGUGUCCUAUGACGACUCGAUCAUGGAUUUCAACGCUGACUCAGCCAAUGGGAUCGCCAUGGAGGGAUACCUCUACAAGAGAGCCAGCAACGCCUUCAAGACCUGGAGCAGGCGUUGGUUUUCGAUUCAGAAAAGUCAGCUGGUGUAUCAGAAGAGAUUCAAGGACCAGCCGACGGCCGUGGUGGAGGACCUGCGUCUCUGCACCGUGAAGCCCAGCGCCGACAACGAGAGACGCUUCUGCUUUGAAGUGGUCUCCCCGUCAAAGUGUUGUUUGUUGCAGGCCGACUCUGAGAGGCAGCAGCAGGCGUGGAUCAGUGCCGUCCAAAACAGCAUCGCCUCAGCCUUUCAGGAGCACAGAGAGGACCCACACAGCCUAAGACAGCGCUGCAGCUCGGUAUCUCUGAACAGUCUGGGGGGAGGGGGGGGAGGAGGGGAUCAGGAUAGCACGAGCUGCAAGGCCCUGGAGGAGGUCCAAGCGAUCCCAGGGAACAAGCACUGCUGCGACUGCGGGGAGCUCGGUCCUGACUGGGCCUCGAUCAACCUGGGCAUCACACUUUGUAUCGUCUGCUCGGGAAUACACAGGAGCCUGGGAGUCCAUUUCUCCAAAGUGCGCUCCCUCACUCUCGACUCCUGGGAGCCGGAGCUCAUCAAGUUGAUGUGUGAAUUGGGAAACACGGUCAUCAACCGGAUCUACGAGGCUCGGAUCGAUGAGAUCACCAUCAAGAAGCCCCACCCCUCCAGCCCCAGAGGAAACAAGGAGUCGUGGAUCAGAUCAAAGUACGUUGAGAAGAAGUUCAUCCACAAGCUGCUCGAGACCGGCAGGAACCCGGUGGUGAGGCGAUCCAGCGACAGGAGGAACCGAACCGACGCGCAGGACCGGACCGGGCAGCGGCCGGCGCUCAAACCCAAACCCAACAGAGCCACUCUGGCCCGGGGAACAGGACUGAGCCCCAGUGACCUUGUCCAAAAGAACAAUGCACACAAAGACGUGGACGAAGAGGAAGAGGAUCUGAGCGGGCUGCACCCCGGUGCGUUGUUGUACCGCUCGGCGGCCCUGCAGAACUUCCCCGUCAUGACCGACGCUCUGGCCCACGGCGCCAGCGUCAACUGGGUCAACGCGGCCGAGGAGUCCAGCACGCCGCUGAUACAGGCGGUGUCAUCGAAUGCGCUGGCAGCCUGCGAGUUCCUGCUGCAGAACAGCGCCAAUAUCAACCAGACCGACAGCAAUGGGAGAGGACCGCUUCACCACGCCACCAUCCUGGGUCACACCGGGCUGGUGUGUCUCUUCUUGAAGCGAGGGGCCGACUACAACGCCAAAGACAAGACCCACAAAGACCCCAUCACUAUCGCCGUGGACACCGCCAACGCUGACAUCGUCACUUUGCUGCGGAUCGCCAAAAUGAACAAGGAGAUGCGGGAGAUGGAUGGAGCGUUUGGCCAAUCAGGUCAAUCGGGGGGGCAGGGGUCAGAGGGUGUCGUAACCGGAGGAGGGCGGGCCCACACCAGGAAGAGCCUCCUGGCUCUCAAGAACCACAUAAGCGGCUGGGCUCUGGGGGGGCAAAACGAUUAGUGGGGGGUAGAAAAGAGCCCCGGGCAGCGAGACUGGAAUGAGACGGGGUUUUUUUGGUGUUUUUUGUCAAGUGGUGCGGCGUCAGGAUCCACUGGCUCUGCAGCGUCACGCCGUGGUCACCUGCAGCGCCUGUAGAUAAAUGACCCCGGCCUCCUGGAGCCGUGUCACUCUAGGAAACGUGCAUCAUCACACAGAAACCCCAAAAAGGAGAAUUGCCUUCACUGAGAGAUGAUAACCAGAACACGGCGUGCGGCCGUCUGGAGGCGGAGUCUCGAGGUCACGAGCGAGAACCGAUUGAUUGCAUCAGUGAAGACGGGAGAACGUCGUGUGGAGCUAAAGUUCACGUUGCACUUUGAAUCACUAACGCACAUCAUGCUGCACUUUGAAACACACACACACACACACACUCUGAACACCGCGUCAACACACCGCUGCACCUCCAACAUUGUACCUGAGGUUUAUGUAUAUUACAGACUUGCAUCAGGCCUAUUUUUUUAUAUUUGGAGUAUUUUGUAUACACGGUAUGUCCAGUGUUUUCUGGCUUCAGAGGUUUUAUUGUGUUCGCGCGUGUGUGUACUGGCCGGGUUGUUUUUCCAGUCCGGUUAUGGAAGCUAAAUGUCUGGUUUUAUCUCGCUAUUCCGUGAAUAGUUUGAACUCUUGUUUAUGUUUUAGUCGUUUGAAUUCAUCAGAAGCUCAGAGCGUCGAGCUGCAGCUCUCCAGCUUCAGGCCGACGGCGGGUUUUGUUUGCGUUUCGUCAUUUGGCUCCUUGUCCAGCUACAAAGUCCAUUCUUUCAUGAUUGUCCCUAAAGUGGCCAUCAGGGCUCAUUUUGUCUCUUUUUAAAAAAAAGUUCUUACGUCAGCUGUUUUCAAUCACGUUUUCACUCAUGAAGGAAUGGAAACGUGACGCUUGUUGUCUGCUUGAAACAAACUGCUGGUCAGUAUUUGACGUGCUUAUCACGUGUGUGUGUCUUUUGUUGUGUGCACUCAUGUUGCCUUCUGCCCGCUGAGAUGUCCAGCUGGUCUCAACUGCUUGUGCAGUGUGCCACCUGCUGCAGACUAAGAGGUGAUGAAACCUACCACGACAUCUUCAGAGACUUUUCACACAUGGCUUCAAACAACCCGGAGAAGCUCAAGCGCCGCAGCGCCGACCCCA